UUACGGCUACAUCACAAUGAAACACUAGUUUCCAUAUGAUCACUGUAGUUAAGCAAUGUCGAGCCAGGUCAGUACCUAGAUGGGUGACUGCUUUGGAAUACCAGGUACUGUAAG